AUCGUCUCCCAUUUUGCAUCGUCUUCAAAUUCUGCAUCUGUCUCAACCAUAGUGCUCUCACUGUGCUCGAGAUCGGCAUUAAAAAUACCGGCCAACAUUGUUUGUAGCAGAUUGCGACUUUCGCCAAACCAGGAAAGCGGUUUCAUCAAAAAAAGUCGAGUAAGACCAGACAUCAAGAGACCAGCAUUUCCAACCCGAAGUACUUGGCGCGUUAAAAACCAAGGGAUACGAUUGUAAAGACGCUCAACUACACCUUCAGGGCCCUUUCUAUUACUAACAAGGUGAGGAGACUCAGGAAUAGCAUCGACGGUAACAAAGGAAAAAUGCAAAAUAACAGCAAUCGUAUAGCGAAUGUUUUCUAUCACAGACCUCAAAGGUUCAUCCCAGCUGUCGACAUCCUCUGAUACUGAAAUCCUAUCGAGAGCUUGUUGAAGACCAUCACCGUACACUAAAAGUGAAUAUGCCUCACGAAGACGCUUAACCGAAGGAUAAUGCAGCCUUUCGGGGCCAUUUGCAUCAUCCAUAUUCACAUUAGCAAGCGACUUCUGAACUGAAUCAGUUGAAGAGUCUGCAUUGGAGCUUUUUGCUUCAUCGGCAUCAUCCUCUUCUUCAUUGUUGCUUGUAGGCUUUCUGUCUUCUGACAGAGGAGUUGCUUUUCCCAAUAAACCCUUCGACAAAACAUGUAAAACAACAACCACCGCGAAUCCAACCAUUUUACGCUUGCUUACACGUCCAUGGUCGUAUGAAUCGGAUAAAUUGUGUUUUCCAAUUGUUUCCAACAAGGGUUGCAAUUUAUCGCUCCAAAACUCAGGGGGUGCCUUAUUCACACCAGGCAAUGUAGGUGUAAAAAUAUAGCUCUGCGCAAUCAUCUUCAUCACCGGUGAAUCCUCAGCAUCUGCGAACUCUUCACUUGGUCUAAAAGGGGGUCCAAAUUUGGCUAAACGACCUGUCAUUUACAGUUAGCAAGCUAGACAAAGCAAUCAACUACUUCAUCAACGUAGGAACGACAAAUUACACCAAACUAAUUACUGGUACAACAGCUUGACCUUGCUCUGAUGCUUAUGACCAACAUUGAAGCCCAAAGCGGAUGAAACCAACCAAGCAUUUUAAGCAAAGACAUGCCAUUUUCGGCUCAGCUUGCUUCGUUUUGAUAAGACCGUUUUACUGAAUGACGUCGCUAAAAAACAUACCUGGAACUUUAAGGCCGCUAAACUCAUGCUGAAGUUCAAGCAAUAGUAGUAUUGAGGUUAAAGAAUCCAUGUUUACAACUGAAUUGGUAAACGACGGAGACAAGUGAAGGGAGCAAUUACAAAUUCCGUUGCGUUGAUAUCUUGAAACGCCAUGACGGUUUGCGUAUCGUUAACAAAACUUAGCAUAUUUGCAGUGGAAUGUACAAUAAGGAGUUUUCGCAAUCGAAGACGGGUAACACAGGUCACGGAAUCCGGUCCUAGGAAGGAGGUGUAAAUAAAGAUAAAUGAGUUGAAGACAAUCGGAAGUAGAAGAUUAUACCGAAUAUUCAAACAUUGGAGAGGAACAAUAAAUUAAAAAAGGAAUUUAAUUAGUUUACACGAAAGAAAGACAACCUCAAAGAUCUAGUCCAUCCUACGAUGCACCGUAGAGGCAAUCGAAGGAGGCCGAGAAGCCUUUGGAGUCGCCGGUUUGGAAUUCCUAGUAGGGUAACGACUAGUAUCGUAAAGAGUUGACAUUGGAUCCUCUAAAAUAGGGAUCACUGAAUCGGUCAUUCCUCUUGUUUGAACUGGACGCCUAGCACCCAUAGUAUAGCGUCGAUCGGACGGCGCAGGAGGACUGGAAGAUUGAUUAUUUCGACGAUUUCGCCUUUGAGUUAAUGUCAGCAUAUCAAACGAAUUUGGAGGCAUGGCUGAAGGCACACCUAUCAUGGACGCAGUUUCCAAGGCAUCCGAGCUAGCCAUGUUAGUAGAAGUACUUAAAAGAUCAGAAACAGAGCCAGCCUUGUUCAUCGUUAAAGGAUUGCCGCGAACGCGACCUCCAAAACGUGAAGGCCUGCCCGUGGGAUUCAAGCCUGAAGGAGAGGUAACGAGAGGCGAAGACAAGUUUACCAUAGAAGCACUAGGAAUUUUGUAUAUGGAGUUGGGACCUUUGGGCAUAGAGCCUCCGAUAGGAGAAGAAGUAAACUGUCUAGUGUUCAACAAGUCAUCGACACUUCCAAUACGGUUAGAUAUGCCAAUGGUGGAGCGAGAUGGUGAGCGUGAGGCAGCACCCACUGGAGAGCGACGCAUUGCAGGAUUGAAAUUGGGGGAAGAUUGAGGCGUUCCAGCUCUCACAGUUAAAUUUCUUUUAUUUUUAGCAUCAAACAGAGCUAGUAAAGUUUCCAUACGAGGAACGGAUACGCCAAGCUCCUUGGCGAUUUCGACUGGGUAACCCAAUAAAACUGCAACCUCCAAAGGUCGAUGUGCAAUAUAAUCCUGAUAAGGAUAAGAAGGUCGAGGAGUUGCAAGCAUACGGUUGACAAUAUGACGUUUCAAAACAUCCAACUUUUCAGGUUCAAAUUCGCAGCCUUGGGCUUGUGCAAUGGAAAAUGCUUCAUCCAUCAGACCAUCAAUUACUUUUGCAAAAGACUUAAGGCGGUACAUUAACGCUAAAUUUGGUUCGUCAUUUAUAAUAGACAAUGGGUAGAAACACAUAUGACCAACCCCUGUUUCCCAUUGCUUUUUCUGAAUUUUGGAAAGAAAGUCACAAGAGACACCACCUGCUUCCAAAGUUAAUGUAAGAGUUUCGAUCAUUGCAUCUUGAACUGAAUCGGGGACAUCGUCCUCCUCUUCAGUGAGUCCAACAUAAAUGACACUUUUAGCAGAAUCCGCAGCAAAUGUGGUAUGCUCAAAUUGGAGAGGCCCCCUUUGAGCAAAUUGAUCAGGCAAAACAAAAGAGAGAACCGGAUUAUUAGGGAAUGCGUGCUGUAAUUCUUUUUCGGCUCCUACUAUACCAGUGGUAUUUAAGACGAUGCACGUGUGGCCAGGGGUAACUACCUCUUUAAUUGCUGUAUCUAAAUUAUAUACUGAUGGAAGAAUUUUUAAACAUACAAAAAUAUAGUCGAACGGUUCAGAAUUCAUAGCAAGCUGCUCAACUGUCGGGGCAACUAAAAUGACUCGAUUAGCAACUUGAUACGGAGAAAAAAUAAUAAGUUAAAUUCAACCAACAUACCAACAUCCGGUUUCCAUUUAGUUGAACCAAAAACACUUGAACGAAUACGGAUACCUUCAGAAAGAACACUCUCGCAACGAUUUCUCCAAAUUAAAGUAGUAUGACAAGCCUUACUCUCGGAGAGACGCCAGCUGAUAAAUGCAGAAAUCGCAUUGCUUCCGACU
rnacentral:lncRNA from 1 species